GCAAGUGUCUAAAAAUUCAAUUUAAAUGAACCGGUGAAGAGGCCUUUAUGUGAAAGAAGGACGACAAGACCCUAUGAAGCUUUAUCUUAAUUGGAGGUCUCAGGCUUUUAUACGUUUUUGAUGGGAGAUCAGCAAAAAUAAGUCUUCUGCUAUAACAUUAAUCUUACUAGAAUUUACUAAUUUUAUAUGUGUGACUAGCUACUCUAGGGAUAACAGCGCAAUUUCCCCCGAAAGAUGGUAUUGGAGGGGAAGAUUGCGACCUCGAUGUUGGC
rnacentral:rRNA from 1 species